rnacentral:rRNA from 1 species
GACGAACGCUGGCGGCGUGCUUAACACAUGCAAGUCGAACGGAAAGGCCCUGCUUUUGUGGGGUGCUCGAGUGGCGAACGGGUGAGUAACACGUGAGUAACCUGACCUUGACUUUGGGACAACUUCAGGAAACUGGGGCUAAUACCGGAUAGGAGCUCCUGCUGCAUGGUGGGGGUUGGUUAGUUUCGGCGGUUGGGGAUGGACUCGCGGCUUAUCAGCUUGUUGGUGGGGUAGUGGCGUACCAAGGCUUUGACGGGUAGCCGGCCUGAGAGGGUGACCGGCCACAUUGGGACUGAGAUACGGCCCAGACUCCUACGGGAGGCAGCAGUGGGGAAUAUUGCACAAUGGGCGGAAGCCUGAUGCAGCAACGCCGCGUGCGGGAUGACGGCCUUCGGGUUGUAAACCGCUUUCGCCUGUGACGAAGCGUGAGUGACGGUAAUGGGUAAAGAAGCACCGGCUAACUACGUG